CAAUAGCGUAUAUUUAAGUUGCUGCAGUUAAAAAGCUCGUAGUUGGAUUUCGGGUGGGAAUGGCCGGUCCGCCGUUUCGGUGUGCACUUGCUACGCCCACCUUGCUGCCGGGGACGUGCUCUUGAGUUCACGCUCGGGACACGGAGUCGGCGAGGUUACUUUGAGUAAAUUAGAGUGUUCAAAGCAGGCCUACGCUUGAAUACAUUAGCAUGGAAUAAUGGAAUAGGACUUUGGUGCUAUUUUGUUGGUUUAUGGGACCGAAGUAAUGAUUAACAGGGACAGUUGGGGCCGUUUAUAUUUCGUUGUCAGAGGUGAAAUUCUUGGAUUUACGAAAGAUAAACUUCUGCGAAAGCAUUCGGCAAGGAUGUUUUCAUUGA
rnacentral:rRNA from 1 species